rnacentral:lncRNA from 1 species
GCGGCUCUUCCCCGUCACACUGGGACCGGACGCAUUUCCAUGGCGUGGUCCCAGGAACCUCUCAGAGUGAACUGAAUUGGAUGCAAGAUCACGGACCGACUCUCAGGAGAUGAAGAUCCAAUCACUCUAUCAAAGAAUAUGAGCAUUUCCGAGGCUCUUGUAAGACAUCCAGCCUCCAGAACUGUGAGUACUAUGCUGAAGAGAGCCCUCAUCAGCACCUGACCAACCUGACCAUGCUGCACCCUCAUCUUAGACGUUCAGCCUCCAGAACUGUGAAUACUAUGCUGAAGAGAGCCCUCACCAGCACCUGACCAUGCUGCACCCUCAUCUCAGAUGUCCAGCCUCCAGAACUGUAAUCCAAGAGCCAAAUCAUGAAUGAACUACCAUUCACAACUGCCACAAAAGAAUAAAAUAUGUAGGAAUACAUCUAACAGGGGAAGUGAAGGACCUUUUCGAGAAGAACUACAAACCACUGCUCAGAGAAAUCUGGGAUGACACAAACAAGUGGGAAAGCAUUCCAUGCUCAUGGAUAGGAAGAAUCAAUAUCAUGAAAAUGGCCAUAUUGCCCAAAGCGAUUUAUAGAUUCAAUGCUGUUCCCAUUAAACUACUAUUGAGAUUCUUCAUAGAAUUAGAAAAAACUUUUAAAAUUCAUAUGGGGCUGGGUGCAGCGGCUCACGCUUGUAAUCCCAGCACUUUGGAAGGCCGAGUUGGGAGGAUCACUUGAGUUCAGGGGUUCAAGACCAGCCUGGCCAACAUGGUGAAACCCCCAUCUCCACUGAAAAUACAAAAAUUAGCUGGGCAUGAUGGUUGGCAUCUGUAAUCCCAGCUACUCGGGAGACUGAGACAUGAGAAUCACUUGAACCUGGGAGGUGGAGGUUGCAGUGAGCCAGGAGCACACCACUGCACUCCAGCCUGGGUGACAGAGAGUCAGUCUCAAAAAAAAAAAAAAAAAUCAUAUGGAACUGAAAAAGAGCCUGAAUAGCCAAGACAAUCCUAAGAAAACAAACAAACAAACAAACAAACAAACCAAAGCUGGAGGCCUCUCCAAAUUAUACCACAAGACUACAGUAACUAAAAAAGCAUGGUACUGGUACAAGAACAGACACAGAGACCAAUGGAACAGAAUAGGGAACCCAGAAAUAAAACUGCACACCUACAAUCAUCUGAUCUUCAGCCAAGUCAACAAUAACAAGCAAUGGAAAAAGGAUUCCCUAUUUAAUAAACCAUGCUGGGAGAACUGGCUAGUCAUAUGGAAAAAAUGGAAACUUCUUUACAUUAUGUGCAAAAAUCACCUCAAGAUGGAUUAAAGACUUAAAUGUAAAACCCAAAACUAUAAAAACCCCAGACAAAAAUCUAGGCAAUACCAUUCAGGACAUAGGCAUGGGCAAAGACUUCAUGACAAAGAUGUCAAAAGCAAUAGCAUUUGACCCAACGAUGCCAUUACUGGGUAUAUACCCAAAGGAAUACAAAUCAUUCUAUUAUAAAGAUACAUGCACAUGUAUGUUCACUGCAGCACUAUUCACAAUAGCAAAGACAUGGAAUCAACUUAAAUGCCCGUCAAUAAUAGAUGGGAUAAAGAAAAUGUGGUACAUAUACACCAUGGAAUACUAUGCAGACAUAAAAAGGAAUGAGAUCAUGUCGUUUGCAGGGACAUGGAUGGAGCUAGAAGCCAUUAUCCUCAGAAAACUAACACAGGAACAGAAAACCAAAUACCACAUGUUCUCACUUAUAAGUGGGAGCUGAAUGAUGAGAACACAUGGACACGUGGUGCGGGAACAAUACACCUGGGGCCUGUUGGAGGGUGGGGGCUGGGAGGAGGGAGAGCAUCAAGAAUAGCUAAUGAGGCCAGGCACAGUGGCUCACGCCUGUAAUCCUAGCAUUUUGGGAGGCUGAGGCGGGCAGAUCAUUUGAGGUCAGGAGUUUGAGACCAGCCUGGCCAAUAUGGUGAAACCCCGUCUCUAUUAAAAAUACAAAAAUAUUAGCCAGGCAUGGUGGCAAUGCCCGUAGUCCCUGCAACUUGGGAGGCUGAGGCAGGAGAAUCGUUUGAACCUGGGAGGUGGAGUUUGCAGUGAGCCAAGAUCGCGCCACUGCACUCCAGCCUGGGCGACAGAGUGAGGCUCCAUUAAAAAAAAAAAAAAAAAAAGAAGAGCAAAUGAAUGCUGGGCAUAAUAUCUAGAUGAUGGGAUGAUCUGUGCAGCAAACCACUAUGGCACAUGUUUACCUAUGUAACAAACCUGCACAUCCUCCACAUGUACCCCUGAACUUAAGAGUUGGAAAUCAAAAAGAAAAAAGGUAUUAACUCAAAAUAAAAACAGUGUGUACUAUUUUUCUAAUCAGCAAAUGUUAUUUUAUUUUUUACUAUUAUUUUUAGAGUCGAUAUCUUGCUCUGUCACACAGUCUGGAGUGCAGUGGCAUGAUUAGCUUUGAAUUCCUGUUCAAGUGAUCCUCCCACCUCAGUCUCCAGAGUAGCUAGGGCUACAGGCAGUGCUGCCACACCUGGAUAAUUUUUAAAUUUUUUAUAGAGUUGGGGUCUUGCUAUGUUGCCCAGGCUUGUCUCAGACUCCUGGCCUUAAGUGAUCCUCCUGCCUCUGUCUUCUGAGUCGCUGGAUUACAGGUAUGAGCCACCAUGCUCAGCAGAAAAUUAAAUUUUUUUUUAACAAGUCAUUAGUUCCUGGGAAUUCUAUUUCACUUCCAAAUCCACCUCAUUUUGCAGUGCCCUGUUCUUAGUAGUCCUGGUUUAGGAAGAGUCGUGUUUCACAUGAUCAAGGUAGCCAACACAAUGAAAGUUGAGUUCACAGAGUAUUUAUUUAUUUUGGUCCCUCACAGAGUAUCUAUUUAUUUUUGGUCCCUCACAGAGUAUUUGUUUAUUUUUGUUCCCUCAAAUAAUUCAGCACAAUUAAAUUCAGCAAAUAUUUAUUGAACACUUGGAGAUGAUGAUGGAAAAUUAUGUUCACAUGGUGCCAUUUGGUACAACGGAAAUGGCAUGAGAUUUGGACCAAACCAGAAUUGUCUUAAAUCCUGGCUUUGUUAGUUUUAGGUAUGUCAUCUUGAGCAGUUCACUUCACUUUUUGAGCCACAAUUUCUCUUCCUUACAUAAAGAUAUUUAUAAAUACCCCACAGGUUGUUAUAAUAAAGGUUGAAGAUGCUUGGCACAUAAGCAAAAAUUAUGAAUAAAUAUGUAUUAAAAUAUAAAAUAACUACAAAAUAAAAUAAAAAUAUUGUUUUUCUCACCACAUGUCAGUAUCUUUACACAUAUAAUCUAAUUUUAUCCUUACAGGAUUGCUAGCCUGGUGUG